GGAGAGUCCACACUGCAGACUGGAGACUCUGAGGAAAUAAAGCUGGAUUCCAGCUGACAGCAUCACAAGAUGUAUAGAGACAGUGGUCCUCAUUCAUCAAACUGCCGGACCAUCAAAUCUGAUCUCAGAGUGUUUGUUCUCUCAUUUCUAAAAUUCAGUCCCAUAGUUAUUAGUGCAGGAUUAUAUAUCUAUUAGCUUUUUAAAAAAAUACUCUUUUACUAGUAUAUCCUAACAGAUUAUGUUGUUGCAGAAAACUCACUUUGAACGACCUCUUUCAUUUUCACCUCCUCGUUUGAUCCAUUGUUAAUAUGAAGAUAUUACAUUUACUCAUUAAGUUGACGCUUGUAUCCAAAGCGACUUACAAUUGCUGUACAUGUCAGAGGUCACACACCUCUGGAGCAACGAGGGGGGAAUUGAACCCGGGUCUCUCACAUCAAAGGCAUGAGUCUUAUCCACUGCUCCAUCACCACCCAAGCCACACUAUUAAUUAUUAUAGUAGCUAUAAGUCUCUGAAAUAUGUCUGGAUUUUAGUGAAAAGCCAGUGCUGUCUUAAAACCUGGUCACAAACACUGAACACCAGAACAUUUUAAUAACUUAUCAGAUUUCUCUUUUGACAUGAAAUUAAUCAGAAAAAAUAUAAAAGUACUAACUAAACUUUUAGUGUCAUUAUUAGUGAUUAAUACGAUGUACAUAUUUGUUCUGUUUUCUCAGAUCGUGACGGUUUGUAUUCUUGCAGAAAAAAAA